CCCGGCACAAGCGGUGGAGUAUGUGGUUUAAUUCGACGCAACGCGCAGAACUUACCUGGUCUUGACAUCUCGGGAAUCAUUUGGAAACAUAUGAGUGCCUCGCAAGAGGAGCCCGAUGACAGGUGCUGCAUGGCUGUCGUCAGCUCGUGUCGUGAGAUGUUGGGUUAAGUCCCGCAACGAGCGCAACCCUUGUCUUUAGUUGCCAUCAUUAAGUUGGGCACUCUAAAGAGACUGCCGGUGUCAAACCGGAGGAAGGUGGGGAUGACGUCAAGUCCUCAUGGCCUUUAUGACCAGGGCUACACACGUACUACAAUGGCAGGUACAAAGGGCAGCCACUUAGCGAUAAGGCGCGAAUCCCAUAAAACCUGUCUCAGUCCGGAUUGGAGUCUGCAACUCGACUCCAUGAAGUUGGAAUCGCUAGUAAUCGCAGAUCAGCACGCUGCGGUGAAUACGUUCCCGGGCCUU
rnacentral:rRNA from 1 species